rnacentral:rRNA from 1 species
UACGUAGGGGGCGAGCGUUGUCCGGAAUGACUGGGCGUAAAGGGCGUGUAGGCGGCCACCUAAGUCUGGAGUGAAAGUCCCGGAUUCAAUUUGGGAAUUGCUUUGGAUACUGGGUAGCUUGAGUGCGGAAGAGGUAAGUGGAAUUCCCAGUGUAGCGGUGAAAUGCGUAGAGAUUGGGAGGAACACCAGUGGCGAAGGCGACUUACUGGGCCGUAACUGACGCUGAGGCGCGAAAGCGUGGGGAGCGAAC